rnacentral:misc_RNA from 1 species
AAGUCGUAACAAGGUUUCCGUAGGUGAACGGAAGUAUGGUCGCCCGCUCGCAUGGACAAGCCCAGUAAAUCAAGCCCCGGAAAGUUUUUGAUUUGGGACCUCUGUGCGCGUGAGAAAAACUGACAGCGAUUCAGGUCAAGUGACACGGCGUCCCCGGAGCGUCAACGACUCUUCAAGAUUGCUAGAGGUCGACCACCGACCGGCUUCCGUGUAUACUGAGCUUAACCCCACUUUAUUGCCUUGCCUGUAAGCAUCCAUACGGAUGGGCAGGCCCCCCGAACAACUGUUAACAAUGGAUAUCUUGGUUCUC